rnacentral:rRNA from 1 species
ACUCCUACGGGAGGAAGCAGUGAGGAAUUUUGCGCAAUGGGGGAAACCCUGACGCAGCGACGCCGCGUGGAGGACGAAGGCCUUCGGGUCGUAAACUCCUGUCAAGUGGGACGAAAGCUCCAGGGAUGAAUAAGCCUUGGGGUUGACGGUACUACUGGAGGAAGCCCCGGCUAACUCCGUGCCAGCAGCCGCGGUAAUA